AAAGGAAAUCGUACUGAUUAGUGACGAGAACAAGAUCAAUAUUCUUGAGAGAAGCGGAAUCGGGUCGGGAAUUUGGAUUCCGACGUAGGCUUUGCUUCCACGAUAAAGUUUUUCCAGCAUGUCCUCACCAAUUAGAACAAAUCAAAAAUCAAAAUCAAAUACAGAUUCACGCAAAUCAAAAAUCAAAAAUCAAAAAUUGAAAAUUGAAGCUGAAACUUGUUCAAUUUCACAUUUGAAAAAAAAAAAAUUGGGGGAUUGAACCUUUUGGCGACGGUGAAGAGAGCACUGGAAUGAGAGGAAGCGAGAUCGAGAGUGUCGUCUUCGUAGAAGAAGGAUUUGAGUAAGAAGCAGAUGAGGAACAGAACGCAUAUGAUUGAAGCUCCCUAGACGGUGCGACUGGUCGUCCCUGCCGCCGAGCUUAUUACGACCGAGCUCAUCGGCGGAGCGCUCGCAUGGAUUGAUGCAUAAAUUCAUUGUGCGUCAAUCCCUUGGUCUGAGCCGCCGAUUUGGGGGCGAUGUAUGCCGAGAAUUACUCAAUUGAUUGGUUGAUUGGGGGUGGCGGAGGAACAAAUAACAGAGAGAGAAGUCCAUAGAACCUUUUUGGGAGAAA
rnacentral:lncRNA from 1 species